rnacentral:rRNA from 1 species
UACAGAGGGUGCGAGCGUUGUUCGGAAUUGAUUGGCGUAAAGGGUGCGUAGGCGGGUCUUUAAGUCAGGGGUGAAAUCCUGGAGCUCAACUCCAGAACUGCCUUUGAUACUGAGGAUCUUGAGUUCGGGAGAGGUGAGUGGAACUGCGAGUGUAGAGGUGAAAUUCGUAGAUAUUCGCAAGAACACCAGUGGCGAAGGCGGCUCACUGGCCCGAUACUGACGCUGAUGCACGAAAGCGUGGGGAGCAAACAGG